rnacentral:sRNA from 1 species
AGAUACCCACAGAAGUUGGGCAUUUACAUUCCCCACUCUGAAUUCUCUGGAGGAAAAUGCCAGAAAGACCUGCCUACACUUUGUUAAAAAUGUUAUUCUUUGGGGCAUUCAAAUUGGAAAACCAUUUUGGAAUUAACUGUACAGAUUGAUCACCGCAUAGUCUUUGGUCAUUGAAUUGUAGAAUGCACCAAAAAAGGAAACAAAAAAUUAGGGCAUGCCGACAUACCUGGGGAAAUCCUUAUGGAACUAAUUUUUUGCAAUACUUUAUGAAUCUAACCAUGUGCAUAUCUAAGCAAAGGUCAUAGGUUAUAUAUGGUAUUUGUGAAAAUAUGAAAAUAUUUUUUAAAAAAUACAAUGAAAUAUUUAGACACUAUAAUAGAUUACCAGUACCUUAGUAUCUAGAAUUUCAACAGGAUUUGGUAGGGGAUUACCAGUAGAAUACAAGAAUAGAGUUCAUGUGUUUUCAAGUAAAAUAUGGGCAUUCUAUCACACCUGGAGGUAGCGUUUUAUCUAGGUUUAUUAGUGACCCACUUAUCUUCAGAGUUCGUUCAUUAAUGAAGACAGCAGUUAUUAGAAAAAGGAUGCAGCUUCAUACAAAGAAAUGCUGAAUCUUUCUUAAGUGCCUAUCUCAGAAGAAAAACAUUAUAACACAGAAAGAAAAGGAGGAUUGGUUAUGAGAAUCUGAUGCAUUUUGAUGUUUUUUAGCCCAUGUAUUUUACUUCGCCCUUUAUUCUUUUCCAAUGAUUUCUUCCGAUGCAAAUGAAAAAACUAAUCUGGCAGGAUGAAUGGAACUGCUCUGUAAGCCAACAGGAAGUACAGGCUAUGGCUGAAAUCUCCUGCCAAAUUCUGCCUCUGUAGAUCUGUCCUCUUCCAGAUUCAUCUAGAUAUUUACAGUAUUGAGGGAAGAGUUUCAUUUGAACAUUCAUGAAUAGAUUUCUUUCACAUUUCUGCUUACGAUACACUUAUUUUACACUUCUUCCAUCAUGUCAUGGUCCAAUACAGUGUUUGUGUACUGUUUGAACUUGUAGAUGUUUGAAUUCCAUGGCAGAACUUUAAAAAGGUGUAAAGUUGUGUAUUGGUAAUAAAUAAGCAUAACAAUUGAUGUACAAAAAUUUUAUCUGAAGAAUUUGCUGCGUCAUGCAUAGCACAUAGACUUAAGCCUCCACGUAGUUGCAAUAAUUCAGAAAAGAUAAGAAUGCUUCAUACAAAUUUGAAAAAUGGAAGACGUAGCGUUGAGAAUUUUGAGCUUAAUUUUGAUGGGGGCACUAUUGAUGUUGAAGUUUUAGACAAAACAGCUGCUAUCUCUCAAGCAAACAUGGUACUGACGUCAAAAAAUGCUUCCGGAAACACAUGCUGCUAAUCGUUACCACUUCCCAUCCUUAGCCAAAUUUCAAUUUACCUGGCAAAAUUUCAGAACUUCUAAAGUAACUCUCCACUGAAGAAUUCACCCGCCUUGAUAAUAUAAGCCUGAAUCUGGCAUGCAGAAAUUUCAACAGCAUGAAGUUUUGCUGCAGAUAUAUUGAAAAGAGAGAAUUUGUCAUUGAUAUUUGUGAAUGAAUCUAUCUUCUGCUUGCUGCCACAGAAGAUUUUUUGUUCUACCCUCCCCCCAUCCCUUAGGGUCAGCUGGUGCAGUGGCAGUGAUGUAUGAAGUUUGACAUAGCAUAAUGAAAAGCCAAGGAUGCCAUGAUCUGAUGAUAAUCCAUUGUUACUCGUUUUGUAUUGGAACAUAAAAAAACCCAUCUAUGCCUGCAAUACAGUAAGUUUACUGUGUUGAAAUAACAGGAAGCAAACCUUCAAAUAACAAUGAAGAACAUUCCAGUGAAAUAAAAAUAUCAUAAAUCUAUGAAAGGAAAGCGUCUUGUCAGCUAUAGAUGUCACUGAACCUUUCAUGAUAUCUUGAAUCAAAGAAGUUAUUGAUAUGCAAACCUAAUCAGCUUCUCUCUUUGAGAUUUCUGGGUUUUUUUGAGGUUUUUUUAUUAAGGUAGUGACAUAAUAUGAUUUUGUUACAUUACUGAUUUAGAACUGAAUCCCCUCUUACUAACAUCAUACAGUUUUUCUUCGAUAUAUUGUGUCUAUCUGUCCUUGUACCGUAUAUUCGGUAAUUUUCGCGGUGAUGUAAUUCUGGCUCUUUUCGCAACCCCUUUUAAAUCGCAAAUAUUGGAAUAUGCAGAAAUUUUAUCCUGUAUCAAAAAAAACUUUUUAUGUCACAGAAAAUGUCUGCCGCAAAUUAAAAUUGUUACAGAUUUUGUGUCGCAAAAAAACCUGGAUAUAUGGUAUGUUUAUAUGGCUAUUAUGUAGGGUGUUUUUUUUUAAGGAACUCUUUUUUUUGUAAAAUGAUUAAAUUGUUAAUAUUUUUCAUAAAUAUAUAAAAGAUUCUUUUAG